GCGCUAGAACAUGAGGACAUGGUCUUCAGCUGCGCCAGGGGAGGUUUGGGUUGGACACCGGGAAGAAUUUAUUCUCAGGAAGAGUGAUCGGACACUGGAAUGGGCAGCCCGGGGAGGUGGUGGAGUCACGGUCCCUGGAGCUGUUUAGGCAAGGACUGGACGCGGCGCUCCGUGCCGUGGUUGACGCGGUGGUGUCGGGUCCCCGGUGAACCUCAGAGCGCCUUCGCAGCCUCGGUGGUUCUGUGAUUUGGAGCCGGUUGGAAAUGCUGGGCAGGCCAGGCGGGUCUGUUGCCUGUGUCUGGCCUGUUUCUGCCCCCGUGCAGGUCUUGGUGCGGCAGCAGCAGGGCGGCCGCUGUUCCCGAGGGGCCGCCUCGGCUCCGGGCUGUGCCCAGCUCGGCGCUGCUGGGACGGGCCAGCCCGGCCCGGGCCCCUCCGCUGGGACGAACUUCCUGGAAGCGUCCAGCACGAGUGUGUAGCAGCUGAUAGAGGGUUUUGUUCCGUAUAAAAAGGUGUGAUCCUUUCUCCUGCAUUUGAUGGAGAACGGUUUCAGAUGUUUCAGGGUUCUUGAAGCAGGGGGAACAAGCUGUAGUACAGCCGGUGCUAAUCGAUCAAACUUAAAAGCUUAGAUCAAUGUGGAAGAUAAUGUGUGGUUGGAGGAAAAAAAAGAUGCUACAGAGAGAUACUACUCUGAUAUAAAUGGGGUUUUUACAUUGAAAGCACUGACUCUGUCAGUAAUUUGUCUUUCAUGGCACACAGCAUAAAGAGCCCUUUAAAAAAGCUUUUUUUAAGAUAAAAAAAGGGCUAAAUAAGGAGAGCGUUUUCUUGUGUUUUGUGCAUAGCUGCAGCCAGCUUGGUGUUUGAAUUUGUUUGAUGAAUUUGUCCAGUCCUUAAACAGAACAGUGAGUAGCAGAUUGAUCAGUUUGCACGGUCCGUAUGACCUCACUUGUUGCAGUCUGUUCAUUGUCUUGUGUGUUAUGUUUUCUUUCUUCUUUGAGCACUGGUGGGAGCAAAGCAAUGGGCAGUGUAAGUGGGAAGGGGGAAUGCUUGAAAUUCUGUUCUUUGGAAGUCUGUGGUGGGGACUGGGUGUACUGUUGAGCUUUGGUCCUUCAUCUGUUGGCAUUGACAGCAGUCAGAAAAUCAGAUAUCAGUAGGGUGUAGGACCAGUUGAGGAGAAAUAGAGAAAGUAGUAUAAUGUCAGUUUGGUUGGUAAUGUGAGCAAUAGUACUUGUGGAAAGGAUGGCCAAAAAGUUACCUAAAUGUUAAGACCUACUGCUGAACUUCUUUAACUAAAGUUUUCUGGGACUAGUGUGGAAUUGAGCUUGAUAGGACAAGACCAAUUUCAUUAGGAGAGCUACAAGUUGUAGGAACAUAGAAUUAAGAGAAGGGGAAAAAAUCUGGUUUACUGGCAUUUUCCUUUCCUUGUCAUUAAAUUUCUCAGCAAAUACUUAGGCAAAAGUUCAAGCAGUAGAAAUGGGCCAUUGAUGGGUCCAACUUCCCUCUUGUAAAGCUGUUAGAAAAGCAGGAAGGUUAACCUGUGAGAUUUAGAUUGUCCUCUACUUCCCCAAAUAUGCCUCCUAAAGUGUAGUAGGAUGGGGACUGAUUUUGGCUUCAAGGAGACUUUUGAUUAAGUCUUGCUUUGUAUUAUGAUGGCAAGAAUAUCACUUGAACCCUGGCUAAGAAAGGAUAUAAUCUCAUUUUAGGACAAGUGUUUGGGUGGUAGAAAAGGAAGUACGUUUCUUUUGGAGGAAAUGUUGCAUUGUAUAGAGGCAAUGCUCAUUAAAGUGGGGAAUAAUUCCAGAAUCUGAAGGACUGGAAGGAAAUGCUUUCUACAUUUCCUUUUGUAAUUUGGGAAUGGCAUUGUUUUGCAUUAACAUUAAUCUUGACCCUGGAAUUAGGGAGGUUAACUUUGGUGAGUUGUGAAAUGCUUGCAGUUUCAUAGGCUCUGGCCCUAAAUGCUUUGGUGACCUGCUGUGGGAAGUUGGGUGCUCCCACUGUAACUGCAGUUUUUGAGAUGAAGCUGUCAUUAAAUGGGGAGCUCUUUCUCUUAGGUGCUGAAAUAACCAGGUUUUGAUGAUGUAAGUCAAGCAGGGAGCUUUUCCCUACAGCUUUUGAUUCAAGAGCACCGUGGGUCUCUCAGGUUACGAGUGUGUACAGUGAAGGGUGGGCACACCCUCCCUGGGGAUUUGUGAAACGGGGUCUGAAAAUUGUACUGGAAUCGUGCUAAGGCCUUGUUUAUUUUAUUACAUUAAAUUUUAAUCUUAUCCCGGUGCUGUUGUCAGGUAAACUAGAGGUUGGGAGUGGUAUUCUGGCAUAAUAGUUCUCAGAAUAGAAAAUUCAGGAGUCUGCUUGUUUGAAUACACUCCCUCUAUCUUUCAACACUGCCAUCAAGCCUUUCAUAUGUGAAACUCUUAUUCUUUGCUGAUGGGAGAGAUCACAGUGGAAGCCUCAUGAAUUCCCAGGCAGUCACACUUUCUGAGAUGCAGACAGAGUAUUUGCCAGGAGCUUCAGGAGGUGUUUUUGGUGAGGAAGACUGAUUAUCUGUGGAUACAGCAUGCAGGUCGUGGCAUGACGUGAGACAAAAUCACGCAAGAAUGUCUCUGUUGGGUUUUGCUCAGGCUUAAAUUGGUCUAAGAAAGUCAAAUUCCAUUAUGUAAGUGUGCUUGUCUCAGCAAGGUUCUGAGUAGAAAUCAGAUGGAUUUCAUCCCAGGGUCUGAGUUUCACAGCAGAGGAACUUGACUUCCAUUACUGUUAGUUGGGAAGUGACCAGAGCGGAUCAGCUAUUUAAGAUUUGAUUCUGGAAGAAAUCCAGAAUCAAGAAUUUAUCAAGAAUUUUAUCCUUCAUCUGUCUUGUGCACGAUGAAGGAUAAAAUUUUACGAAGUUACUGCCUUCACAAAAAAGAAUCUUCAUAUUUGUGUUUUGGUCAGAACUUACUAUCCCAAGUAUAAUUGGAAAUAAUGGAUUUGCUUGGAAAUAAAUCAAGCAGGACUAAGAUUUUCUGAAUCUUUUUAGAGUAACAGCCUCUCUAAAAAGCAGGAUGGAGUUGCCAAAAAUGCUUUGUGCUCAGUUUCAUUCUUUCUGUUUAUAGAACAGAUGUGCAAAUUCAGACCACAAAUGCCUGUAGGAAAGAAGCAGUUUCUUAGAUCAUCUUGUAAAGUACCUUAUUACUGGGAUUCUCUGUAUUAUAUUGAAUGGAUGGAUUUAAGAUAAGCAGGAAGGUAUUGUUUGGAUCAGCUGCUUCAGUUGUAGGUCUUUAUCUCAGCCUGAUUUCUUUUGUGUUGUUUGGAUAAGUUGUGCUGCUGGUUUUACUGAUGUACUUGCAGAAACAGGAAUUCUCUUUCUGAAUUUUACAUGUUUGGACUGGUCAUUUGAAAAUGCUGUCCUGGGCAGUUUAUGGCUCUGCGGGGAAAAUCCAGUUAAUAAUAGGGAACUUACCUAUUUUCUUCCCUGGAUAAAUAAAUAAAUUUCUUUUGUGUGUGUAGGUGUAGAGCAGACCGUGCUGCAGGCAGAAGUAGUCAUGGUCUGACUGCGGCAUGCAGGUAUCAAAAAAAAAAAAACCCAAAACUGUGAUGGAACAAAAUGAUCUGUCAGGAUUAGAUUUGUAUGGAAAGGCUUCUAAGUGAUUGUAUUCAGCUAAAAAACACCUCUGCCCCCUCCACUUUGCUUGAAAAGCAAGAAGGCAGAAAAAAACUUCAAUAUGGACCUGUAAAUAGUAAAAAUAAUUGUUAUGGCAAAACGUAGUUUGAAAACAGGACUUGUGUGAAUAUUAGGAGGUUUGCACUGUAAAAUGGAGCUGGGGCUUUGCUGUUCGUGUCUGAAAGAUGGCAUCUGCUCGCACAGCAGCGUUCCGCCCCGAGCAGGGAUCCCUCUGGGAUUGGAUGGGGGAAGUGGUAAUUUUAGCAGGCGAUAAAUUGCCCGUGUAAAUGUCAACAGAGGAGGAAUGGAGAAAUUACCGCUGUCGUGUGCUGUAAUUUGGUUUACACAAUCGGCUGCGUCCGCAACACGGGAAAGCCUGAGAUUUACCAGGAAAACGGAGCGGUUUGGGAGCCAGCUGAUACGAAAAUCUUCACUGACGAUCCAGUUUGUGGAAGGACAGUUUGUUGAUUCAUAUGAUCCAACCAUAGAGAACACUUUUACAAAACUGAUCACAGUAAAUGGCCAAGAAUAUCAUCUUCAGCUGGUUGACACUGCUGGCCAGGAUGAAUACUCCAUAUUUCCUCAGACGUACUCCAUAGACAUCAAUGGCUACAUUCUUGUUUAUUCUGUCACGUCAAUAAAAAGUUUUGAAGUGAUAAAAGUUAUCCAUGGCAAGUUAUUGGAUAUGGUGGGAAAAGUCCAUUCUGAACUUUCUUUCACAGAAUACCCAUUAUGCUGGUUGGAAAUAAAAAAGACCUGCAUAUGGAACGGGUGAUCAGCUAUGAAGAAGGGAAAGCUUUAGCAGAAUCCUGGAACGCAGCUUUCUUGGAAUCUUCUGCUAAAGAAAAUCAGACUGCCGUUGAUGUUUUUAAGAGGAUAAUUUUGGAGGCAGAAAAAAUCGAUGGGGCAGCUUCACAAGGGAAGUCUUCAUGCUCAGUAAUGUAAUUCCACUGCAGAACCUGAAAACACUGGGAAUACAUUCUACCUGAAGAAGCAAAACUGCCCAUUAUCUUUAAGGAUAAACUAUGCUUCUUUUUUUUUUUUUUCCUUUUUUUUUUUCAAUUUUAUUUUUUUUCUUCUGUUAACCUGAAAGAUAAACAGUUGGUUUGGAGCCUUUCCCUUCAGAUUAUGUUAAACUCUGACUCCUGUGCAAAUGGCUUCACUUCCAUUUUCAAAUUUUAAGCAAUCAUAUUUUCAAUUUAUAUAUUGUAUUUCUUAAUAUUAUGACCAAGACUUUUACUGGCAUUAAUUUUUCAGUGUAGUUUGUUGGUUAGAAUAAUCAUCAAAAUGAUGCAUAUUGUUACACUACUAUUAACUAGGCUUGGAUAUCAGUGUUUCUUUGUGUUAAAUGUAUACUUGUAAAUAAAAUAGCUGCAAACCUUAAAUGUUCUGUUUAUAAUUUUUCGUUGAUUACUCCAUAUCAACUUUUUUUUUCUUUUUUUUUGUGAAAAAUGUUCACCUGCUGACCUUAAGAGGAGGCGUGAGAUCCUUGGAGCCAAUGGAUUGUUUGACUAUUGCUCGGGAAGUUGUUUGCGAGUGAUCCCAAGCGUUUUUGCUACUGGAACUCCAGGCUGGCCAGGCAGCUCUUGCUUUGCUUUGUGCCCGGUCACGGGAAGGAGAGACAAGUGCCAGCUUUAUUUGGAAGGGAAGUCCUGGGUUUCAGUCAGAACCUGCUCUGUGUUUUUCCUCUGUAACCGUUGAGUGAAGGGUGCGCAGAGCCGCCGCGAGUUCUGCGCUACGGACUGUUCACGCAGACUUGUGACUGGGAGUGCUGGCAGGAUGGAGUGGAUUUAUCCAGGUCACAAGCGUAGACUUGUUAAGAGAACAAAAAUGUCAUUUAAAAUAAAUUGCACGUCCUGAACAAA